rnacentral:tRNA from 1 species
UCCCCUGUGGCUCAGUUGGUAGAGCAUGGUGUUUGCAAUGCCAGGGUUGUGGGUUUGAUUCCCACGGGGGGCC